UGUUAAUUGUCCUUAACUUCCAUAAACCUCCGUGGCUUCAAAUAUAAGAACAAGCAAUUCGUCUCAGCCAGUCAGCCUCCCUUUCCCCAUUGUUGAGCUAAUAAUCCAUCUUUGACACCUUUUUUUAAAGCAGAAAUGGCAUACGAUGAUCCCAAAACCCCACUUCUCCCCGUCAACGAUCGAAACCAACCGUCGUCACCACCGCCGCCGCCACCACCCUUUUCACCUAAAUCCAUGGCUACACUUAAAAAUUUCUACAUCCUGUUAGGUCCCCUUUUGUGUGCCGUAAUCUGCCUUUGUGUCACCUUCGAUGGCCCGACGACUAGCCGGAACAUGUUAGCCGUGACGGCGUGGGUGUUCGCUUGGUGGCUCACCGAGGCUGUGCCGAUGCCGAUCACCUCCAUAGCACCUCUCUUUUUGUUUCCGCUUUUCGGAAUUGCCUCCGCCGAUGGUGUUGCUCGGUCUUACAUGGACGACGUCGUUACACUGCUUCUGGGUAGCUUCAUGCUUGUUCUUGCUGUUGAACGGUACAACGUUCAUAGAAGAUUGGCCUUAAAUAUAACUUUGCGGUUCUGCGGUGAGCCAGUGAACCCACCUUUCCUCUUACUUGGCAUCUGCGCCACCACAGCCUUCGUCAGCAUGUGGAUGCACAACGUCGCCUGCGCCGUGAUGAUGAUGCCCGUCGCCACUGGGAUCCUACAACGCCUCCCCGUGAAUCCCACCGACGGGUCCGCCAGGGCCGCCACCCCUAUCAACAACUUCUGUAGGGCUGUGGUUCUUGGGGUCACGUACGCCGCUCCGAUAGGGGGAAUGAGCACCUUGACGGGGACAGGUGUCAACCUUAUAUUGGCUGCCAUUUGGAAGAGCACCUUCCCGGAAGCAAAGCCUAUCAGUUUCAACACGUGGUUCCUUUUCGGUUUCCCUUUGGCUUUGCUAAUAUUCUUGGCUUUGUGGGUCAUACUUUGUUUGUUGUAUUUGUCUAAAGGGUCUAGUAGGGCCUUAGCUGCUUACUUGGACAAAGCUCACCUCAAGAGAGAACUUGACAUUUUGGGUCCAAUGGCUUUUGCUGAGAAGAUGGUUUUGGCUGUCUUUGGGACGACGAUAGCUUUGUGGAUGACCAGAAGCAUAACAGAAGACAUUCCAGGAUGGGGAGCUCUCUUUCAUGGCCGCGCAGGCGAUGGAACUGUCAGUGUAAUGGUGGCUACCCUUUUGUUCAUCCUCCCGAACGGGAAGCAAAAAGGUGAGAAACUGAUGGACUGGAAUGAAUGCAAGAAACUACCAUGGAACAUAAUUUUGUUACUUGGUGCUGGUUUCGCCAUCGCCGACGGCAUGCAAUCUAGCGGACUCGCCGACAUAUUAUCCAAAGCCUUAGAUUUCUUGGAACAAGUCCCGUAUAUCGCUAUCGCUCUCGUCGUGUGUCUAAUUAGUGCUAUAAUCACUGAGUUCAUAACAUCGAACGAUGCGGCCGCAACACUCUUGGUUCCACUUUUAAGCCAAAUGGCAAGGACUGCGAAUGUUCACCCGCUGGCGCUUAUGGUUCCGGGAGCCAUCGGGUCACAAUUGGCUUUUAUGCUUCCCACCGGGACUCCGCCGAAUAUUGUCGGGUUUACGACGGGGCAUAUCGAUAUCAUGGAUAUGAUGAAGACGGGGUUGUUGCUUAAGAUUGUUGGUACCGCAAUUGUAUCCUUGCUAAUGCCUACGCUUGGUGCUUAUGUUUUUGUAACAAAAGGAGGACUUCAAUAGCUGCAAAAAAAUGCAAGGGAAAGUGUGAUUGAUAUACGUUUGUAGAUCUAUUUAGUGGGUGUCGUUGUUGUUUUCACAAGUCAUGAUAAGCAAAUGACGAUGUCUGUCAUCUCUAAAACUCCACCGACCACUAGCGGUUUCUCUUGAACAGUGGUUUGGUGGAUGCUCAGUUCUUUUGUCAAUUUUGCCCGCCCGCCACCUUUGACCAUCCAGGGCUGAUUUCCUUCUCGUGAUAGUUGCUUGCAAUUACUCUAGAUAUGUCGUGCUUGAGUUAUGACAAAACUCAUUGUCAAUGUGUUGUAAUAUUUUGUUGAUGUUAAAACUUAUAAUAAGUGUUUGUUAUUUUUUUUUACCUAAAUUAUAUGAUCCCAUUUAUGAAA